UAAAAAAAUGGUGCUAANUCCCAUGC
rnacentral:piRNA from 1 species